rnacentral:rRNA from 1 species
UGGGGAAUCUUCCGCAAUGGGCGAAAGCCUGACGGAGCAAUGCCGCGUGAGUGAAGAAGGCCUUCGGGUUGUAAAACUCUGUCCUUAUCGAAGAGAGGUAGGUAUGUGAAUAAUGUACCUAUAGGACGGUAGAUAAGGAGGAAGCCCCGGCUAACUACGUGCCAGCAGCCGCGGUAAUACGUAGGGGGCGAGCGUUGUCCGGAAUCACUGGGCGUAAAGGGCGCGUAGGCGGUUUAAUAAGUCAGUGGUGAAAACUGAGGGCUCAACCCUCAGCCUGCCACUGAUACUGUUAGACUUGAGUAU